rnacentral:rRNA from 1 species
AGAGCGAACGCUGGCGGCAGGCCUAACACAUGCAAGUCGAGCGCCCGUAGCAAUACGGGAGCGGCAGACGGGAUAGUAACACGUGGGAACGCGCCCUUCGGUUCGGAAUAACUCAGGGAAACUUGAGCUAAUACCAGAUACGCCCUUACGGGGAAAGAUUUAUUGCCGAAGGAACGGCCCGCGUCCGAUUAGCUAGUUGGUGAGGUAAUGGCUCACCAAGGCGACGAUCGGUAGCUGGUCUGAGAGGAUGACCAGCAUCACUGGGACUGAGACACGGCCCAGACUCCUACGGGAGGCAGCAGUGGGGAAUUUCCGCAAUGGGCGAAAGCCUGACGGAGCGACGCCGCGUGUGGGAAGAAGGCCUCGGGUCGUAAACCACUGUCGAAGGGGACUAUACUGAAGGUACCCUUGGAGGAAGCCCCGGCUAACUACGUGCCAGCAGCCGC